rnacentral:rRNA from 1 species
UACGUAGGGUGCGAGCGUUGUCCGGAAUUAUUGGGCGUAAAGAGCUUGUAGGCGGUUUGUCGCGUCUGCUGUGAAAAUCCGGGGCUCAACCCCGGACUUGCAGUGGGUACGGGCAGACUAGAGUGUGGUAGGGGAGACUGGAAUUCCUGGUGUAGCGGUGAAAUGCGCAGAUAUCAGGAGGAACACCGGUGGCGAAGGCGGUUCUCUGGGGCAUUACCUGACGCUGAGGAGCGAAAGCAUGGGGAGCGAACAGG